UUUCUCAUUCCUCAACUCUCUUUUUCACCGACUUCCUUCACUCUCUCUCAGAAACCUAGAGAGAGAAACCUUCUACACCUUCAGCAAUCACCGGUCAUCCAUUCGAUAAUGGUUAUGGGGCUUCGGUUCUUCUUUGGGGAUUGGUGAUUUCGCCCUUUUGAUUUUGACCUGAGAAAGGAGAAAAGAGGAGAUAACUGGCUGAGUUUAUAUCUGCCGAUGAAAGGAAAAUGCUGCUGAAGAUACUUUGAAUGCUUACAAAGCUGCUCAGAGAUAAUUUGGUGGAGGGAAGCAGGAAUGAUUGGAUUACUGAAGUGACGUUGGUGGGGUUCACAUCAUUUGAAGUUUUUGCACUCCAACAUAGUUUUUCAAAAUCAAAGGAGGUAUAGUUGUUGGUAUGCAAAAUUCAGAGGCGAAUGACAUAAGAAACUAAAUUUACGAGUAUAAAAUAAGAAAUUGAAGACCAUUGUAGAGGCAAAUGAGAUAAAAUUUGGCAUGCCAAAGGUGUGUAAAUGGCAUUGUUGCUGCUCUAUUGAUAUUACUGUAUGCCUGCACUCAAGUCACAACGUCGUCUGCAGCCACCUAUAUUCCCAUACCCAAAACCACACCCUUACUGCUUCAAUUACCCAUCUUCGUUUUGGGCCUCGGCCAUUAUUAUUUACUCCCUCCGUUUCUUUUAAGGAUGACGAUUUUUCUUUAUGUUCCACGUCGGCUAUGAGUUGGUGAGAAACUAGAGGAGACAUAUUGCGAUGAACGGCGGCAGGGGUACUGGUGAUGGCGAAGUUUCCGGCAUCAGACUGCCGCUAUCUUAGGACUGCAACCACUUAAAAUAUAGACGAAACUCUCAAACUUGUAAUGUAUUUUCUUUCCCUUUCAAUUUGUUGUGGUUGAAUAGAAAGAUAGAAAAAUUGCUCAUUUCUGAAAUAUUAGGCUUCAAUUUUUAUAAACAAUACUUCUAAAUAGCAACUUCUUAAUUCGGGCAUUCUUUUUUGUCAUUGAACUAUAAGUUUUGAGUUUUCUUCUCAUUUUGGUUAUAAUAUUCAUGGGUGUAAAAAUUUCUACUUUACUUGAGCUUUGUCAUUCAUUUGGGUAUCCAUGUCUGUGAAAUGAUCUGAUACAACUCAUAAUUUUGUUCUUUC